AGAGUUUGAUCCUGGCUCAGGAUAAACGCUGGCGGCGUGCCUAACACAUGCAAGUCGAACGCCCUGUGCAAACAGGGAGUGGCGGACGGGUGAGUAACACGUGGGUAUCUACCCUGAGGUGAGGAAUACCGGCGAGAAAUCGCCGACAAGACCGCAUAGGCUCCUUAGCGGGAGCAAAGUCGCAAGACGCCACAGGAUGA
rnacentral:rRNA from 1 species